GCCGCCGUAGCUCAGUUGGUAGAGCGCGCCCGUGGUAUGGGUGAGGUCGCGGGUUCGAUCCCUGCCAGCGGCA
rnacentral:tRNA from 1 species